rfam:Schistosoma curassoni strain Dakar, Senegal genome assembly, scaffold: SCTD_scaffold0013544
AGCUUUUCGAAUCCAUGCUGAGAUUUCGUCACACACCAACCCAUUAGAGCUGAUAAGACUUCCAAGAUAAGUGAAGUU